rnacentral:rRNA from 1 species
CUUGACGGUACCUAAYCAGAAAGCCACGGCUAACUACGUGCCAGCAGCCGCGGUAAUACGUAGGUGGCAAGCGUUGUCCGGAAUUAUUGGGCGUAAAGGGCUCGYAGGCGGUUUCUUAAGUCUGAUGUGAAAGCCCACGGCUCAACCGUGGAGGGUCAUUGGAAACUGGGAAACUUGAGUGCAGAAAGAGGAAAGUGGAAUUCCAYGUGUAGCGGUGAAAUGCGCAGAGAUGUGGAGGAACACCAGUGGCGAAAGCGACUUUCUGGUCUGUAACUGACGCUGAUGUGCGAAAGCGUGGGGAUCAAACAGGAUUAGAUACCCUGGUAGUCCACGCCGUAAACGAUGAGUGCUAAGUGUUAGGGGGUUUCCGCCCCUUAGUGCUGCAGCUAACGCAUUAAGCACUCCGCCUGGGGAGUACGRCCGC